rnacentral:rRNA from 1 species
GUGCCAGCAGCCGCGGUAAUACGUAGGGGGCAAGCGUUGUCCGGAAUUAUUGGGCGUAAAGCGCGCGCAGGCGGCUAUUUAAGUCUGGUGUUUAAAACCUUGGGCUCAACCUGAGGUCGCACUUGAAAACUGGGUGGCUUGAGUACAGAAGAGGAAAGUGGAAGUCCACGUGUAGCGGUGAAAUGCGUAGAGAUGUGGAGGAACACCCGUGGGCGAAGGCGACUUUCUGGGCUGUAACUGGCGCUGAGGCGCGAAAGCGUGGGGAGCAAACAGGAUUAGAUACCCUGGUAGUCC